UAUGCACAACGAGCCAUUAAUUCAGCUUACAUCGAGGCACAUAGUGCAUACCAUGGUAUAUGAAUUGUAAAGUUGAUGGGUCGUAGCAGUGGAUUUAUUGCUAUGCAUGCAUCCCUGGCUAGUGGAAAAAUUGAUAUAUGCUUGAUACCAGAGGUACCUUUCCAUUUACAUGGUUCUCAUGGUGUUUUGCGGCAUCUGAAAUACCUCAUUGAGACAAAAGGAUCAGCAGUGGUCUGUGUUGCUGAGGGAGCAGGGCAGGUUAGUCAUAGUAUAACAUCAGUUUUUCACUAGUUGAAACAUGAUCAACUGAUUGGAACUAGUAUAUUUUUUUUCCUUCUGGAUCUAAAUAUUAUGAAACCCCUCCAAAAACAAAAUGCCAGCCAUAUGUUGAGAUUCAACUAGCUAAAAAGAAACAACAAAUUGAUGUUUAUCUUUCUAAGGAUCUAAGUUAGGUAUGUUACAUCAAUGGUUUUGAAGAUACAGUUGGAUCAUUAAAUUUUGAUAGCAUGUUGAGUGUUUUGUUAUGAUUGGCCUGGGAAUAGUGACUGUUUUUAGUUUAACACA